rnacentral:rRNA from 1 species
UACGAAGGGGGCUAGCGUUGCUCGGAAUUACUGGGCGUAAAGCGCGCGUAGGCGGGCUUGAAAGUUGAUUGUGAAAGCCCUGGGCUUAACCCGGGAAUGGCAGUCAAAACUACAAGUCUUGAGUGCCUGAGAGGAUGGCGGAAUUCCCGGUGUAGUAGUGAAAUACGUAGAUAUCGGGAAGAACACCUGAGGCGAAGGCGGCUAUCUGGCGGUGCACUGACGCGUGAGGCGCGGAAAGCAGGGGGGAGCAAACAGGA